rnacentral:rRNA from 1 species
UACGAAGGGGGCUAGCGUUGUUCGGAAUCACUGGGCGUAAAGGGCGCGUAGGCGGCUUUUCAAGUCGGGGGUGAAAGCCUGUGGCUCAACCACAGAAUUGCCUUCGAUACUGUUAGGCUUGAGACCGGAAGAGGUGAGUGGAACUGCGAGUGUAGAGGUGAAAUGCGCAGAUAUCAGGAAGAACACCCGUGGCGAAGGCGGUUCUCUGGGACGGUACUGACGCUGAGACGCGAAAGCGUGGGGAGCGAACAGG